GCCAGGCAUGGUGGUGCGUGCCUGUAGUCCCAGCUACUCGGGAGGCUGAGGCAGAAGAAUCAUUUGAACCCAGGAGGCCAAGGUUGCAGUGAGCCAAGAUUGUGCCACUGCACUCCAGCCUGGGCAACAAAGUGAGACUCCGUCUCAA
ensembl:misc_RNA Metazoa_SRP Metazoan signal recognition particle RNA